GACGAACGCUGGCGGCGUGCUUAACACAUGCAAGUCGAACGGACAGGCCCUGCUUUUGUGGGUUGCUCGUGUGGCGAACGGGUGAGUAACACGUGAGUAACCUGCCCUUGACUUUGGGAUAACUUCAGGAAACUGGGGCUCAUACCGGAUAUGAGCUCCUGCUGCAUGGUGGGGGUUGGAAAGUUUCGGCGGUUGUGGCUGGACUCGCGGCUUCUCCGCUUGUUGGUGUGGUAGUGGCUUACCAAGGUUUUGACGGGUAGCCGGCCUGGGAGGGUGACCAGGCACAUGGGGCCUGAGGGACGGCCCAGAAGGCAACGGGACGCAGCAGGGGGGAACAUUGCAGAACGGGGCGGAGCCAGAUGAAGCAACGCCCGGUGCGGGAAGACGGGUUUUUGGGUGUGAACCAAUUUGGCAGGUAAUAAAGCCGGAGUGACGGUAAUGGGUAAGGAAGCACCGGCUAACUACGUG
rnacentral:rRNA from 1 species